rnacentral:rRNA from 1 species
CAUGAACGCUGGCGGCGUGCUUAACACAUGCAAGUCGAGCGAGUGAGUUCUUCGGAACGAUCUAGCGGCGGACGGGUGAGUAACACGUGGGCAACCUGCCUCAUAGAGGGGAAUAGCCUCCCGAAAGGGAGAUUAAUACCGUAUAACAUCGUUGAAGGGCAUCCUUCGAUGAUCAAAGGAGCAAUCCGCUAUGAGAUGGGCCCGCGGCGCAUUAGCUAGUUGGUGAGGUAACGGCUCACCAAGGCGACAAUGCGUAGCCGACCUGAGAGGGUGAUCGGCCACAUUGGGACUGAGACACGGCCCAGACUCCUACGGGAGGCAGCAGUGGGGAAUAUUGCACAAUGGGGGAAACCCUGAUGCAGCAACGCCGCGUGAGUGAUGACGGCCUUCGGGUUGUAAAGCUCUGUCUUUGGGGACGAUAAUGACGGUACCCAAGGAGGAAGUCACGGCUAACUACGUGCCAGCCGCCGCGGUAAGAC